rnacentral:tRNA from 1 species
GAGGGUAUAGCUCAGUGGUAGAGUGCAUGCUUAGCAUGCACGAGGUCCUGGGUUCAAUCCCCAGUAACUUCU